rnacentral:lncRNA from 1 species
UAGUAUAAUAUUUACCAUUUUAUCAAACGAAUAAUAAAAUAUGGUAUACCAUUCUUAUAACCAACUUUACAAGUAUAUCUAUAUAACUUAUACAACACCUAGUACAUGCCACUUUCAAUUAAGAAAGAAAACAUCACCCAAAAUUUGCUGGAGUCGGGAUCGUUCAGAUGCUGGACCGGGGUACUAGACUCCUAUUAACCUGCGCACGGAAACAACCGCACGCUGAGUAUUCCGUACUCAGUGGUAUUACCAUAAUUCAAAUUAUAAUAGCAAUAAAGAAUUUUAAUUACCAAACAUGUAACUAUCUAAUUUCACAAACAUCAAUUCAUUCUUAAACUUUCAUUAAUUAAUAAUAAUGAUACAAUUUUUAUCUAUUCUUCAGUUUCCAUCACAUAUUACAUGUAACAAUUUCAAUCACUACAUGAACAUUAAGUUCAUGCCUUUCAUUUUCAAUCUCAAUUUCAAUCCACUAUUCAACUUUUUCGUUUCUUUCAAUAUUUCAAUAAUAUAAUCAAUCAAUUUAUUUUAAAUUUCUCAUCUUAGAUAUUCACCCUAUUAACAAAUCCGGACUUUGACGGAUACACAGAUUCUAACCCGACACACCAGUACGGCACAUUGUGCCUAAAACGGUACAUAGUACCUGAUCAGUAUAUGACACAUAAAGUGCCUAAAACGACACACGAGGUGCCUGAUACGACACACGAGGUGCCUGAAAUACGACAUAUAAAGUGCCUGAUCAGUAAAGUCGACAAAUUCCCGUACACUUCCAGAUCCUAUGGCAUGCCGAUUAUAUCCGACUUAGCCCGACUAGUUAAUAGGGUAUUUCAAUUCUCAAUUCUCAAUUCACUUUCAUUUCCAUUCCAAGAUUACUUUUCAAUUAAAAUUUUCACGUUCAAAUCAAUUUACAAUUCAAUUAUACAUACACAUUCACCAUUCAAUUCAAUUCUCAUUCAACUCAAAUAUCAAUACUUACCUUAUAAUUCACUUAUUAAAUAUAGAAUUGAUAUAAAACAUUUAAUAAAAAGUAAUUUGAAUUAUAGUAAUACAAACCGUGAAUUUCUCGUUUUAAUCCUCGAUAGCUUUCUCCUUUCCUUUGUGCGCCGAUGUCUUGGGUUCUUUGUUAACUACGAAAAUAAUAAUAAUUUAUAAUAAUCAAUAUAACACAAUUCAAUUUAAUCCAUGAGCCUAAACAUGCAAAUUUAACCAUUUUUAUACACAUAAUUCCACUAUUUACUUAUAUGUUCAUUCAAAGCUGUCUACUUGAGUCAUUGUUACUAAAUCAUUUAUAUCUUGAGCUAGAAAACUCCAAAUUAAGGUCCACUAAUUUUCCCUGAAACUAGACUCACAUAUCUUCUUACCAUAAAAUUUUUAGAAUUUUUGGUUAAGCCAAUAAGUUCAGUUUAUUCUUUAAAGUUGCCCCUUUUCUGCUGUCAAAUAGUUCCGACCAUUCUUCACUAGAAAUUAAUUAUAUCACAGUACAGAACUCGGAUAAUAUUCCCGUUGAUUUCUUCUGAAAAUAGACUCAUUAAGGAUUCUAAAAAUAUAACUUUAAGCCUCUAAUUAUUUUUCUUCAAUUUUUUGUGAUUUUCCAAAGUCAGAACAGGGAAACCCGAAUUUAUUCUGACCUUGUCUCACAAAAUUCAUUAUAUCUCUUAAUUUACAAUUCAAUUACUUAUAUUGUUUCUUCUAUAAGAAACUAGACUCAAUAAUAUUUAAUUCCAUAUUUUAUUCAUCCUAUAAUUUAAUUUAUACAAUUUUUGGUGAUUUUUCAAACUUAGACUACUGCUGCUGUCUAAAAUAGUCUUAGUACAAAAUGUUGAUUUACUUUAAUUUCAAUUUAAUCCUAACUAAAUUCACUUACUUUUCUAUCUUAAUUCAUACUUUAUUUCUAUUCAAAUUUUGUCCAAACUCAUACUUAACUAUUAAAUUUCCAGCAUAUUUUCAUAAUUUCGAAUUUAUUUCCAUUUAAUCCCUAAAACUCAAAACUUAUAGCUUAGUUUACGAUUCAAUCCUUUAUUCAAUUCCAAUCAAAAUUUCUAUCAAAUAAACCCCCAAUUCCAUCAUUUUAUUCAACAUGAACCAAACUUAAAAAUCUAAUGACUUUCAAAAUUUCUACUUAAACCAAGUACUAUUUAUCUCUAGGAUUCCAAAAGCUCAAAAAUCAUAAGAAAAGGGGCUAAAUUGACUUACCAAAAUAACUUGGAACCUUUAAACCCUAUUUUCCCUUUUUCUUUUCUUUCUUUCUUUCUCCCCUGUUUCUUCUCUGUUUCGUUUCCUGCUAUUCUGUUUCCUUCCUUCUUUUUAUUCUUUUGUUUCUUUCCUUUCUU